rnacentral:rRNA from 1 species
CCUACGGGGUGGCUGCAGUGGGGAAUAUUGGACAAUGGGCGAAAGCCUGAUCCAGCCAUGCCGCGUGUGUGAAGAAGGCCUUCGGGUUGUAAAGCACUUUCAGUGGGGAAGAAAGCCUUGGGGCUAAUACCCUCGAGGAAGGACAUCACCCACAGAAGAAGCACCGGCUAACUCCGUGCCAGCAGCCGCGGUAAUACGGAGGGUGCGAGCGUUAAUCGGAAUUACUGGGCGUAAAGCGCGCGUAGGCGGUCUGAUAAGCCGGUUGUGAAAGCCCCGGGCUCAACCUGGGAACGGCAUCCGGAACUGUCAGGCUAGAGUGCAGGAGAGGAAGGUAGAAUUCCCGGUGUAGCGGUGAAAUGCGUAGAGAUCGGGAGGAAUACCAGUGGCGAAGGCGGCCUUCUGGACUGACACUGACGCUGAGGUGCGAAAGCGUGGGUAGCAAACAGGAUUAGAUACCCGUGUAGUC